UAUCAGAAGUAAAGCGGGGAGAGAGA
rnacentral:piRNA from 1 species